UACGUAGGGUCCGAGCGUUGUCCGGAAUUAUUGGGCGUAAAGGGCUCGUAGGCGGUUUGUCACGUCGGGAGUGAAAUUCCACAGCUUAACUGUGGAAUUGCUUCCGAUACGGGCAGACUUGAGGUAUUCAGGGGAGAACGGAAUUCCUGGUGUAGCGGUGAAAUGCGCAGAUAUCGUAAGGAAGACCAGUGGCGAAGGCGGGUCUCUGGACAGUUCCUGACGCUGAGGCACGAAGGUCAGGGGAGCAAACGGG
rnacentral:rRNA from 1 species